UACGUAGGGGGCUAGCGUUGUCCGGAAUCAUUGGGCGUAAAGAGCGUGUAGGCGGCCCGGUAAGUCCGCUGUAAAAGUCAAAGGCUCAACCUUUGAAUGUCAGUGGAUACUGCCGGGCUAGAGUCCGGAAGAGGCGAGUGGAACUCCUGGUGUAGCGGUGGAAUGCGCAGAUAUCAGGAGGAACACCGAUUGCGAAGGCAGCUCGCUGGGACGUAACUGACGCUGAGACGCGAAAGCGUGGGGAGCAAACAGG
rnacentral:rRNA from 1 species